rnacentral:tRNA from 1 species
AGCCCCGGGGUGUCGCACAUAUAAGAUUGCAAAUCUUAGGUAGCAGGUUAUUCGCCUGCCGGGGCUU